rnacentral:rRNA from 1 species
GACGAACGCUGGCGGCGUGCCUAAUACAUGCAAGUCGAGCGGACCUUUUAAAAGCUUGCUUUUGAAAGGUCAGCGGCGGACGGGUGAGUAACACGUGGGCAACCUGCCUGUAAGACUGGGAUAACUUCGGGAAACCGGAGCUAAUACCGGAUAAUAUAAGGAACCUCCUGGUUCUUUAUUGAAAGAUGGUUUCGGCUAUCACUUACAGAUGGGCCCGCGGCGCAUUAGCUAGUUGGUGAGGUAACGGCUCACCAAGGGGACGAUGCGUAGCCGACCUGAGAGGGUGAUCGGCCACACUGGGACUGAGACACGGCCCAGACUCCUACGGGAGGCAGCAGUAGGGAAUCUUCCACAAUGGACGAAAGUCUGAUGGAGCAACGCCGCGUGAGCGAUGAAGGCCUUCGGGUCGUAAAGCUCUGUUGUUAGGGAAGAACAAGUGCGAGAGUAACUGCUCGCACCUUGACGGUACCUAACCAGAAAGCCACGGCUAACUACGUGCCAGCCGCCGCAGUAA